GACCGCGUAGCUCAGUUGGCAGAGCAUUGGACUAGUAUUCCAAAGGUCUCGGGUUCGAUUCCCAACGCGGUCG